AGGGAGAUCCCCCACNNUGGUACUGAGACACGGACCAGACUCCUACGGGAGGCAGCAGUGAGGAAUAUUGGACAAUGGGCGCAAGCCUGAUCCAGCCAUGCCGCGUGCAGGAUGACGGUCCUAUGGAUUGUAAACUGCUUUUAUACGAGAAGAAACACUACUUCGUGAAGUAGCUUGACGGUAUCGUAAGAAUAAGGAUCGGCUAACUCCGUGCCAGCAGCCGCGGUAAUACGGAGGAUCCAAGCGUUAUCCGGAAUCAUUGGGUUUAAAGGGUCCGUAGGCGGUUUAAUAAGUCAGUGGUGAAAGCCCAUCGCUCAACGGUGGAACGGCCAUUGAUACUGUUAAACUUGAAUUAUUAGGAAGUAACUAGAAUAUGUAGUGUAGCGGUGAAAUGCUUAGAGAUUACAUGGAAUACCAAUUGCGAAGGCAGGUUACUACUAAUGGAUUGACGCUGAUGGACGAAAGCGUGGGUAGCGAACAGGAUUAGAUACCCUGGUAGUCCACGCCGUAAACGAUGGAUACUAGCUGUUGGGAGCAAUCUCAGUGGNUAAGCGAAAGUGAUAAGUAUCCCACCUGGGGAGUACGUUCGCAAGAA
rnacentral:rRNA from 1 species